GACGAACGCUGGCGGCGUGCUUAACACAUGCAAGUCGAACGAGAAGAGAUGCGAAGCUUGCUUCUUAUUGAUUCGAGUGGCAAACGGGUGAGUAACGCGUAAGCAACCUGCCCUUCAGAUGGGGACAACAGCUGGAAACGGCUGCUAAUACCGAAUACGUUCUUUUGUCGCAUGGCAGAGGGAAGAAAGGGAGGCUCUUCGGAGCUUUCGCUGAAGGAGGGGCUUGCGUCUGAUUAGCUAGUUGGAGGGUAACGGCCCACCAAGGCGACGAUCAGUAGCCGGUCUGAGAGGAUGAACGGCCACAUUGGGACUGAGACACGGCCCAGACUCCUACGGGAGGCAGCAGUGGGGAAUCUUCCGCAAUGGACGAAAGUCUGACGGAGCAACGCCGCGUGAACGAUGACGGCCUCGGUUGUAAGUACUGUUAUACGGGUACGAAGUAGGUAC
rnacentral:rRNA from 1 species